rnacentral:lncRNA from 1 species
CAUCAGUGGUGGUGUGGAUCUAGGUGACAUUUACCUGUGUUUUGGAGCUCAUCUGAUUUAGCCUAACAUUGGGUACACUGCCAGGAAACAGUACCCCUGCCCCCACUGGACCAGUUGGCCGAAACUCUGAGGUUCUUGCACAUGUAAAGCACUUUUAUAAAUUCUCCACGCUCCCAGCUCCAUGUCUGCUCAGCACAGGGCUUGCCUCUUUGACCAUCUCUGAAAUAGCACCUGCCUCCCAUCUCUCUUCAUUCCUUUAGCUGACUAUUUUUAUCUUCAGAGCACUUGUCAUCACUUGACAGCUUGUGUAUUUAUUUGUUUACUGUCUGCCUGUCACCUUCACAAUGCACUCCCUGGGAAAGAAUGGAUCUGUCUAAUCCCUGCUAUGCUUCUGUUGCCUAAGGGGGUCUCUGACAUACGGUGUUUAUGGAGCAAAUGAAUGAAGCCAAGGAGCUGUUGUUGACCACCAGGAACUGAAACGAGGGAAAGUAUAACCAUGGAUAAGAGAGGAUUACUGCAUAUCUAUACUGUGGGAUUCUACUCAGCAGUAAAAAGAAAUGAGCUAUUGACAUACAUAACAAUGUGGAUGGACCUCUGAGGCUCUACGUUGAAUGAAAAAAAAAAGGUCCAUACCCAGGCUUUGAAGUCCGAGGCAUCAAAUGACACAACUCUGUAUGGCUCCUCAAUUGCAGCCACAGGAAAGAUUCUGGACUGGGACCAUCUAGCUGAGUGACUCCUCCAUUCUUACCUCCAUGAAGAUGUGAUGUCUCCCUCCUCCUCAUGGCUUGUGACUUUGGCCUGCUGCCUGGUGCCACUCUUCCUGGAUUGCACUCCCCAGGUGACAGUGCAAGCACUAGAGGAAGAUUCCACAAGCUCACUGACAAGUCAUAAAAGAACAUUUCUCAAACUGAAAUCCAGGCAUAUAUCCUCAGGAACUGUGAAUUUAAGAGAAAUCUUAAAAUUCUUGUGUUUUCAUUUUUGUGGCAACCUGACAAAAGUGUUAAUGGAAUCAUCUGGAUAA